CGCCAUUGGAUCAUCAAGCUCUCAGUGAAACCUCGUAACUUCACCCGCCUCCAUUCAGAUUUACGCGCCGCGCACAGCCUGGAGGAGACACAUCUCGGCUUUUUCGCAAUGAAAGGGUCACCACUCCAUCUGAUGUCCAUCAGUCUCUACAUUUGCCAGAGAACACAACUUAUAAUUAUUGGUCAGUCUCUAAGCAACCAGCGGUAGAUGUUGAGCAGCCCAACUUUGUCUCUGGCCUUGCAGUGCUGUUUGUAUUAUUGUAUGAUUUCAACUUCCAGUAUCAGGAAGAGGUGGCAUGCACCCUUGCGAUUGAGGUUAGAUAUUAGCAUAUUUGCCAUUGAUAUAUAUGAUAGAGUGAAUUGUCACUAUCUUGUCUUGACAGUAUUUGUAAAGUACUUAAGUAUUUUUUCACAAACAUUUUAUACAGUUGAUUAUAGAGAUGAAUGAUAUAUUGCAUAUUUAACAUUAUCAUGUAGUCAUGUAAUCACAUCACAAGUGUUGCAAUUCUCUGUGCUGUCUAUAUAUAUAUAUAUAUAUAUAUGAAGAGAAAAAACCAAGAAAGGAAAAG